GCGCCGGUAGUCUAAUGGCAGGACCUUAAAUCCAAAAGCUAAUUAUCCGGGUUCGAAUCCCGGCCGGCGCA
rnacentral:tRNA from 1 species